rnacentral:lncRNA from 1 species
CUCGCCUUGCCGCAGGAGACUCAGACCCCCUCCCACAGGGCAGUCACCAGCCUCCUCCCAGUAGCAAAUGAUUUGAUGGGGGCUCUUUUCUUUCGAAAGGACCUGGGGGUCAGCGGACGUUCGGACUCAUUGCGAAGUGAAGAACCUUACUGGGGGAUUUUUUUUCUUUCAUUCUUUCCCUUUUUUUUUGUAAUUAAAAAACCCUUUUCAGAACUAAAGGAGGAAACAGAUUCUUCCCUUUCCCAUUUUAAGCACUUAUGGGAGGAAGCGAAGAUAGGAAAGGCGAACCAGUCAACUGGAGUGGAGUAGGAGCUCAGAUGAAAAAGAAGACAGGAAAAGGAGAGAGGGAAACCUUAAGAUCCUGGCACCAAGAAGGAGCUGGGGGCUCUGACCACGGCCCGCAUGAGGAGUUAAACCCUUUCUAACUAACCUUCCAGGCAUCUAGAGACAGACCUCUCAGAUCUGAAAAGAAAGCCUGGCUGCCUUUAUUUAUAUUCAAUCUUCAAAGCCUAAUAUAUUAAAAUGAGAGUUCAUUUUUCCCACGACAUUCUGGAAAUCUUGUAUACAAGCAAAGAAAUGACCAUUUAUAAUGUUCUGCAGAAGAAUCCUGGAGCUUUAGGCCCUGGUGGAUUAUAAAUAAGAAAAAAAGGAACAAAUAUCUCAAAAUGUAUUGAUCUGAGUGCUGAAUAAUCUCAUUCUUCAAAGUGGAAAGUAACCCUGUUUUUGCAGAUAAGGAAACAGAGUUGUUAUUGCAAUCAACUGGACUGUUUUUGAAAUGCAAGCGAGGCACGUACACCCUCUAGUGGAGAAUCUAAUUAGCAAUGGAAUUUUACAAAAGGAAUUUCUAUGGAAAGAUUUUGUCAAGGAACAGCUGGACAUUGUCACCUCCAUGGUCCAAAUCUAAAUCUUCUAAUGAAUAGAAAAAUUCAGUUUCUCAAUGAAAAGAAGGUAGAUAAAAGUAGCAAUCUCUUAUUGAUUGAGUUAACAUUAAUUAUUGAAUAUCAAAUGCAGACCAUGUAUUGUUUUAGGGGUUUUUUGUUUUUUGUUUUUGUACCAGGGAUUGAACUUGGGACCUUGCGCUUGUGAGACAGGCGUCGGAACCACUGAGCUAAAUCCCCGGCCCAGGAGUUCUUUUUUUAAAAAGGACACAUUCAGUUUUAGAUUCUAUAGAAUAUUCAAGUGCAGAUGUCGGG